GAUGAUCGCUAGCUACAGGCUUAACACAUGCAAGUCGAGGGGCAUCAUUUCAGUUUGCUUGCAAACUGGAGAUGGCGACCGGCGCACGGGUGAGUAACACGUAUCCAACCUGCCGAUAACUCGGGGAUAGCCUUUCGAAAGAAAGAUUAAUACCCGAUGGUAUAAUCAGACCGCAUGGUCUUGUUAUUAAAGAAUUUCGGUUAUCGAUGGGGAUGCGUUCCAUUAGGCAGUUGGUGAGGUAACGGCUCACCAAACCUUCGAUGGAUAGGGGUUCUGAGAGGAAGGUCCCCCACAUUGGAACUGAGACACGGUCCAAACUCCUACGGGAGGCAGCAGUGAGGAAUAUUGGUCAAUGGGCGCAGGCCUGAACCAGCCAAGUAGCGUGAAGGAUGACUGCCCUAUGGGUUGUAAACUUCUUUUAUAUGGGAAUAAAGUUUUCCACGUGUGGAAUUUUGUAUGUACCAUAUGAAUAAGGAUCGGCUAACUCCGUGCCAGCAGCCGCGGUAAUACGGAGGAUCCGAGCGUUAUCCGGAUUUAUUGGGUUUAAAGGGAGCGUAGGUGGACAGUUAAGUCAGUUGUGAAAGUUUGCGGCUCAACCGUAAAAUUGCAGUUGAUACUGGCUGUCUUGAGUACAGUAGAGGUGGGCGGAAUUCGUGGUGUAGCGGUGAAAUGCUUAGAUAUCACGAAGAACUCCGAUUGCGAAGGCAGCUCACUGGACUGCAACUGACACUGAUGCUCGAAAGUGUGGGUAUCAAACAGGAUUAGAUACCCUGGUAGUCCACACAGUAAACGAUGAAUACUCGCUGUUUGCGAUAUACAGUAAGCGGCCAAGCGAAAGCAUUAAAUAUUCCACCUGGGGAGUACGCCGGCAACGGUGAAACUCAAAGGAAUUGACGGGGGCCCGCACAAGCGGAGGAACAUGUGGUUUAAUUCGAUGAUACGCGAGGAACCUUACCCGGGCUUAAAUUGCAUUUGAAUAUAUUGGAAACAGUAUAGCCGUAAGGCAAAUGUGAAGGUGCUGCAUGGUUGUCGUCAGCUCGUGCCGUGAGGUGUCGGCUUAAGUGCCAUAACGAGCGCAACCCUUAUCUUUAGUUACUAACAGGUCAUGCUGAGGACUCUAGAGAGACUGCCGUCGUAAGAUGUGAGGAAGGUGGGGAUGACGUCAAAUCAGCACGGCCCUUACGUCCGGGGCUACACACGUGUUACAAUGGGGGGUACAGAAGGCAGCUACCUGGUGACAGGAUGCUAAUCCCAAAAGCCUCUCUCAGUUCGGAUCGAAGUCUGCAACCCGACUUCGUGAAGCUGGAUUCGCUAGUAAUCGCGCAUCAGCCAUGGCGCGGUGAAUACGUUCCCGGGCCU
rnacentral:rRNA from 1 species